GUGGGGAAUCUUGCGCAAUGGGCGAAAGCCUGACGCAGCAACGCCGCGUGCGGGAUGAAGGCCUUCGGGUUGUAAACCGCUUUCAGCAGGGACGAAAAUGACGGUACCUGCAGAAGAAGCUCCGGCUAACUACGUGCCAGCAGCCGCGGUAAUACGUAGGGAGCAAGCGUUGUCCGGAUUUAUUGGGCGUAAAGAGCUCGUAGGCGGUUUCGUAAGUCGAGUGUGAAAAAUCUGGGCUUAACCCAGUGGAGCACUCGAUACUGCGAUGACUUGAGGCUGGUAGAGGAGUGUGGAAGUCCUGGUGUAGCGGUGAAAUGCGCAGAUAGCAGGAGGAACACCAACGGCGAAGGCAGCACUCUGGGCCAGUACUGACGCUGAGGAGCGAAAGCGUGGGGAGCAAACAGGAUUAGAUACCCUGGUAGUCC
rnacentral:rRNA from 1 species